GACGAACGCUGGCGGCGUGCCUAAUACAUGCAAGUAGAACGCUGAAGGAGGAGCUUGCUUCUCUGGAUGAGUUGCGAACGGGUGAGUAACGCGUAGGUAACCUGCCUGGUAGCGGGGGAUAACUAUUGGAAACGAUAGCUAAUACCGCAUAAGAGUAGAUGUUGCAUGACAUUUGCUUAAAAGGUGCAAUUGCAUCACUACCAGAUGGACCUGCGUUGUAUUAGCUAGUUGGUGAGGUAACGGCUCACCAAGGCAACGAUACAUAGCCGACCUGAGAGGGUGAUCGGCCACACUGGGACUGAGACACCGCCCAGACCCCUACGGGAGGCAGCAGUAGGGAAUCUUCGGCAAUGGACGGAAGUCUGACCGAGCAACGCCGCGUGAGUGAAGAAGGUUUUCGGAUCGUAAAGCUCUGUUGUAAGAGAAGAACGAGUGUGAGAGUGGAAAGUUCACACUGUGACGGUAUCUUACCAGAAAGGGACGGCUAACUACGUG
rnacentral:rRNA from 1 species